rnacentral:rRNA from 1 species
UACGUAGGGGGCUAGCGUUGUCCGGAUUUAUUGGGCGUAAAGAGCGUGUAGGCGGCCAGGUAGGUCCGGUGUGAAAACUCGAGGCUUAACCUCGAGAUGUCAUCGGAAACCAUCUGGCUAGAGUCCGGAAGAGGAAAGUGGAAUUCCUGGUGUAGCGGUGAAAUGCGCAGAUAUCAGGAAGAACACCCGUGGCGAAGGCGGCUCUCUGGGACGGUACUGACGCUGAGACGCGAAAGCGUGGGGAGCGAACAGG